rnacentral:rRNA from 1 species
AGAGUUUGAUCCUGGCUCAGAACGAACGCUGGCGGCAGGCUUAACACAUGCAAGUUGAACGGGAUUUGUGUGGUGCUUGCACCAUAUAAUGAGAGUAGCGCACUGGUGAGUAACACGUGGGAACGUGCCUUUUAGUGGGGGAUAACAUCUGGAAACGGAUGCUAAUACCGCAUACGCCCUGAGGGGGAAAGAUUUAUUGCUAAGAGGUCGGCCCGCGGUAGAUUAGGCAGUUGGUGGGGUAAAGGCCUACCAAACCUACGAUCUAUAGCUGGUCUGAGAGGACGAUCAGCCACAUUGGAACUGAGACACGGUCCAAACUCCUACGGGAGGCAGCAGUGAGGAAUAUUGGGCAAUGGAGGCAACUCUGACCCAGCCAUGCCGCGUGAGUGAGAAGGUUUUCGAAUUGUAAAGCUCUUUCGGGUGUGAAGAUGAUGACGGUAACACCAGAAGAAGCCCCGGCAAACUUCGUGCCAGCAGCCGCGGUAAUACGAAGGGGGCGAGCGUUGUUCGGAAUUACUGGGCGUAAAGGGUGUGUAGGCGGUUAAGUAAGAUAGUGGUGAAAUGCCGGGGCUCAACCUCGGAAUUGCCAUUAUGACUAUUUAGCUAGAAUGAUGCAGAGGAUAGCGGAAUACCCAGUGUAGAGGUGAAAUUCGUAGAUAUUGGGUAGAACACCAGUGGCGAAGGCGGCUAUCUGGCUAUAUAUUGACACUGAGGCACGAAAGCAUGGGGAUCAAACAGGAUUAGAUACCCUGGUAGUCCAUGCUGUAAACGAUGAAUGCUAGUUGUUGGAGGAAUUCAGUGACGCAGUUAACACAAUAAGCAUUCCGCCUGGGGAGUACGGUCGCAAGAUUAAAACUCAAAGGAAUUGACGGGGACCCGCACAAGCGGUGGAUGAUGUGGAUUAAUUCGAUGCAACGCGAAAAACCUUACCUAGCCUUGACAUGCCAGGAAUCCUGAAGAGAUUCGGGAGUGCCCGCAAGGGAAUCUGGACACAGGUGCUGCAUGGCUGUCGUCAGCUCGUGUCGUGAGAUGUUGGGUUAAGUCCCGCAACGAGCGCAA